GAACUGAAACAUCUUAGUAGGGGCAGGAAGAGAAAGCGCAAUGCGAUGUCGUUAGUAACCGCGGGUGAACGCGAUACAGCUCAAACCGAAGCCUUCGGGCUAUGUGGUGUAUGGGCUGACAUGCAGCACCAGACCGUCAUCGAGAAGUCUCCUGGAAUGGAGCGCGAAACAGGGUGAAAGCCCCGUAUCGGUGUCCAAUACGGUGUGCGUCAGUUCCAGAGUAGUGGAGGUUGGAAAUCCUUCGCGAAUCUAGCAGGCAUCGACUGCUAAAGCUAAACACUCUCCGAGACCGAUAGUGAACAAGUAGCGUGAGCGAACGCUGAAAAGUAUCCUCCAACGGGAGGUGAAAUAGGGCCUGAAAUCAGGUGGCGAUGGAGCGACGGGGCACGAAAGGUCCUGUGACAAACGAGACGGGUGCGAACCCGCAGUAGGACUCACAGGAAGCCGGUGUUCCGUCGUACGUUUUGAAAAACGGACCAGGGAGUGUGCCUGUCUGACGAGUCUAACCCGUCUACCGGGGGAGGCGUAGGGAAACCGACAUGGCCGCAGCGCUUUGCGCGAGGGCCGCCGUGUUCAAGCGCGGGGAGUCAGACGAGCACGACCCGAAUCCGGACGAUCUACGCGUGGGCAAGAUGAAGCAUGGCGAAAGUCAUGUGGAAGUCUGUUAGGGCUGGUGUCUUACAAUACCCUCCCGUGACCUGCGUGUAGGGGUGAAAGGCCCAUCGAGUCCGGCAACAGCUGGUUCCGACCAAAACAUGUCGAAGCAUGACCUCCGCCGAGGUAGUCUGUGAGGUAGAGUGACUGAUUACUGUGUCCGCCCUCGAGAGAGGUCGGCGCGGUUGUCAAACUCCGAACUCACAGACGCCGUCAACGCGGGGAGUCCGGUGCGCGGGGUAAGCCUGUGUACCAUAAGGGAGACAACCCAGCGCCGGGUUAAGGUCCCAAAGUGUGGAUUAAGUGCGAUCGAAGGUGGUCCCGAGCCCUAGACAGCCGGGAGGUGAGCUUAGAAGCAGCUACCCUCCAAGAAAAGCGUAACAGCUUACCGGCCGAGGUUCGGGGCGCCCAAAAUGAUCGGGGCUCAAAUCCACCACCGAGACCUGGC
rnacentral:rRNA from 1 species